rnacentral:rRNA from 1 species
CAGUAGGGAAGUCUUCCACAAUGGGCGAAAGCCUGAUGGAGCAACGCCGCGUGUGUGAUGAAGGGUUUCGGCUCGUAAAACACUGUUGUAAGAGAAGAAUGACAUUGAGAGUAACUGUUCAAUGUGUGACGGUAUCUUACCAGAAAGGAACGGCUAAAUACGUGCCAG